rnacentral:rRNA from 1 species
CAGGUUUACCUGUGUGACUGCGUACCUUUUGUAUAAUGGGUCAGCGACUUAUAUUCUGUAGCAAGGUUAACCGAAUAGGGGAGCCGGAGGGAAACCGAGUCUUAAUUGGGCGUUAAGUUGCAGGGUAUAGACCCGAAACCCGGUGAUCUAGCCAUGGGCAGGUUGAAGGUUGGGUAACACUAACUGGAGGACCGAACCGACUAAUGUUGAAAAAUUAGCGGAUGACCUGUGGCUGGGGGUGAAAGGCCAAUCAAACCGGGAGAUAGCUGGUUCUCCCCGAAAGCUAUUUAGGUAGCGCCUCGUGAAUUCAUCUCCGGGGGUAGAGCACUGUUUCGGCUAGGGGGCCAUCCCGGCUUACCAACCCGAUGCAAACUGCGAAUACCGGAGAAUGUUAUCACGGGAGACACACGGCGGGUGCUAACGUCCGUCGUGAAGAGGGAAACAACCCAGACCGCCAGCUAAGGUCCCAAAGUCAUGGUUAAGUGGGAAACGAUGUGGGAAGGCCCAGACAGCCAGGAUGUUGGCUUAGAAGCAGCCAUCAUUUAAAGAAAGCGUAAUAGCUCACUGGUCGAGUCGGCCUGCGCGGAAGAUGUAACGGGGCUAAACCAUGCACCGAAGCUGCGGCAGCGAACGUAUCACUUAAAGCGAUUCAGCGGGUUACGAUUGACGGAGCGAAGCGACGUCAAAGCGUAUACAAAGUCGAGUCGGUUUAAGGAUACGUUCGUUGGGUAGGGGAGCGUUCUGUAAGC